rnacentral:sRNA from 1 species
AGCACUCUGCUUUUGCUCGAGGCGUUCCUCGAAGCUGUCGAAGGGCGUGAAGAUCACGCCGGAAUUGGAUGCAUUGGUGAAGGUCGCGCCGUUGAAACCGGCAAAGGCGACUGCA